rnacentral:rRNA from 1 species
UACGAAGGGGGCUAGCGUUGUUCGGAUUUACUGGGCGUAAAAGCGCACGUAGGCGGAUCGAUCAGUCAGGGGUGAAAUCCCAGGGCUCAACCCUGGAACUGCCUUUGAUACUGUCGAUCUGGAGUAUGGAAGAGGUGAGUGGAAUUCCGAGUGUAGAGGUGAAAUUCGUAGAUAUUCGGAGGAACACCAGUGGCGAAGGCGGCUCACUGGUCCAUUACUGACGCUGAGGUGCGAAAGCGUGGGGAGCAAACAGG